GUUGUGGAAAUAUUCUCCUUGUUUGCAUAAACAUGCGAGCAUAACUCGCUUUACGGUCUGUAUGUGAAAGCAUGAUUAGUACUUCCUUGUUCAUGAACUUGCACCACCAUAUCAACUGCACUGAAAGGGGAUUCCAGUUCAUCUCGAGUCGUUUGUAUCCCAUUUAAAGAUUCUAUUGAUGGUUUACACUCAGUAAAUCAGAAUGGAGACUGCGACGACAGAUGAUUGCUCUACCUGCACGUGUUGGACCAAUAUCCUCAUCAUUUUCAUCGUUACCUGCAUACUUAAUCUCAUCUGUUGGGUCAUUUGUCUCGUAAUCCUCAUCAAAAACAAAUGCUCCCGCUGUGGAUCUGACGAUGAUACACCACGUGAUGAUGAGGUUCAACUUGAUUUGUAUCAACAAAGAGAGAGUCAGAAAAUAAAAUAACUUACCCCCUUCGGAGAUUCAGUGAAAUUCAAGGACAGUGGUUAUAGUAACAAAGUUCCUGUUAAAAAAAACCUAUACUAUCUUUGAUAUGCGAUGUAUUUGGUUUUGUUGAUGUACAUGUAGGAAUAUUUUAAAAAAAUGAAAGGGGAAGAAAAAAAAUAUAUAUAUGUAAUUCGUGCAGACGCUUUCAAGAUAUCUGAGACUGAAAAAAGUAUCGUUUAAUUCAUCUGCUGGAAAGUCUACAAUAUUGUAUGACAUGUACAUGGUUACAAAACUAGGAUGGUGUUUCUAUUCACUUGAAUUUUCACUUUUAUAAAGUAUUUAAUGAACAUCUUUUUUAAGGAUCCUGGCGCAUUACAAAUGUCCAUAUUACUAUUAUUAUCGUUAUUAUUAUUAAAAUGAUUUUCGGGUGCAAGUUUUCUGGGCUUCAUCUUUAUAUCAUACCACAUGCACAGGUACGAAAUGGGACUUUGUAGCUCAGAUUUUAAAGUAGCCACCUGGUCCAGAGCCGUAUGGGGUAUGCAUGCGAAGGUAAUAUCAACGUAGACUGGUCUUGCGAAUGUAUAUAUGAGAGAAAAAAUAUUGUUGUACAUGUAGGAAUCAGUUUCAGUGCUGGCAUUGAAUUUUAUAUGUUUUAUUAGAAAAAAUGAGACACGCGCAUAACUUAAGGGGGAUAUUAGAGUUUAUUUGAACAUUAUAUAUUAUGUAUAAUUCCUCAUACAGAGAUUAAAUUAAUUAUAAUGAUAAUCUUAAUGUUCUGUAAUAUUAAAUGAUAUUUCAUUCAUUUUGAAAUCAAGUAUAUUUGUGGCUGUGGAAUCUUGAACUUCAAUACUAUUAUAUGCAAUUUUUCUGCUUUUGCUUAUAAUAUUUUAGUAAAAAUUCAAAAAAUAUUUAGUUUUAUAUGUUGCUUAUAAUGAAUACAAAUCAAUAUUCAUUCAUGGUUUGUGACAAUUAGUUGUGAAUUUUUUUCAGAAGGGGGGUGGAUACAUCACCAAUUGAAAAAAAUAAUCGGAUAACAGCUUUCGUUUUGAAAAAUGUAAAAUCUGAAAUAUCGGCAUAUACCCUUUCUUGAUUGUAAAAUAUGAGGAGUAUGACUUUAAGAGUAUCUCGGCAAAUGCACAUGAUCUUGAAAAAUAAUGAAUAAGAAAUUAGUUGACACAAAAAUCUUCAUUAAGUUAGAAAAAUUAAAAGACCAAAAAAGGCGUACAGGUAAUUGUUUGUUGAUUAAAAUUGAUUGAAUUUAUUUGUCAAACCAUCAAAAUAACAACAAUAAGCAUCGAAUAAAAUAUAUAUGUAUAUAUAUAUAUCAGGCUUGAUGGGUAACUAUAUACAAAAGCUCGAGCGCUUAUAAUCUAGCGGGAUCAUUAUUAUGUACGUAUACAUGUAACGUUAUAUAUUCAACAAGUUAAAAUCGUAUUAUUUACGGGAAAAAAAUAAUAAAUAAUAUUACUAAUCAUUACUAUAACAAUGAUAUGUUAUACUGUAGAAACAAAAGAAAACGAAGAGGAAAUAAAUUGAAGUAGGAAGAGCUGGAGAGGGAAAGUGGACACUGGACAGUAAUAUCCUAAGGAGAAGAAAAUUGAUUAUGGAAAAAUAAAAAGGGAGAAGUACAAAAAUAUAUCAUUCACAUUAUUUACAAUAUAUUAAGAAGGCUGAAAAAAGAAGGUGGUUUGUAAGUUUAUUACAAAUGAUUUACUUCUCUCCUCUUAAUCUUCAGUUACUAAUAUCAUUUUAAUUUCAUCUAAAAAUUAACAAGUUUCCUUUACGUCAAUAUGAAGAGAAUUCAUUAUGGGAAUGUAAAAUACAUGAUUACAAAUACGCCCUAAUCUUUAUGUUUUAAAUUCAGGCGGCUGUUUCUUGUAUUGUAAUUAGAUAAGUCAGUUACAAGAUAAAAGCCAGAUUUAAUGGA